rnacentral:lncRNA from 1 species
AUGAUCAAGGACUAAUAGAAAGACUAGCUGUCCAAAACCUACAUAAGAGAACCCGGGUAAUGUGUCGGCUGGUGGCCGGCUCAGGCCACUCCGAUGCUCAAGUUAGCGAUAGCUCUUAAGAAAAUAAAUAUACAAAAAUUUAAUGCGUUGUUCCAUACCUUAGUAUUUGAAGUGUUCAGUUUUAUAUUUGAGAGUUUUACUUGGGUCGAGGCAUACUACUAGGGUGGUCCAUCUAAUCAAGUCCGGUAGUCAAUCGUGUUGGUCCUCACAAAAUCAAACAAGGGCAACGAAAUCAAAACACCUUAUAUAAAAAUAUAAAGCAAAAUCAAAAUAUGACAUAAGGUACUCUUAGUAUUUGUAAAUCUAGUAAAUCAUACCUGCUUACAUGAUGAUAGAACUUGAAUGUAUAAACUACUAAAUCUAUCAUGAUCACUCCAACACCUACUAAAUAGGACCCAGUUAAUGCCUUGUGACUAGUUGAGGACACUCCGAACUCAAGUUAAUUAUAACCUAUGAGAAUAUAUAUAGAGAGAAAAUAUAACGCACGAUUGCAUACCUUAACCCUUGGAGGUGUGGAUCUCUUUAUAUGAGAGGGUCUUACUUAUGGCCACGUUUCAUGUAGUCCAUUCAAUCAAGUCCGAUGGUCGUAAUUCGUGCACAAAAACAAGCAACUGAAUAAAGACAGUGUUCCUCGUACAUAAAUAUGAAGUAAUGUAGUUAAAAAACAAAGGCAACCACUAUAUUUCAAAGAUAUUUAUUUUAUAUAUUUUUUUGUUACAAAACUUAAAAGAGUAAUGUAUAACAAGGUCCAUUACUACGCCAAAUUUUAAGAUUCAAACAAAGACGUGGUAAUUUCGUUGGUCCAUUUGGGGCCCCCUGCCCUUUUCCCCUUCUUUUCAUCACCUUAUGUACUCUACGAGCAUUACCGAAAGUUUUUACAGACAGGGACAUCAUAAAUGUAGAAACUAAUAACUUAGUUAUCGAAAGUUUUAUACAUAAAGGACAUCAUAAAUGUAAGAAACCUAAUAAAACUUAGUUUAUCUUAAAUUUUUCAUUAAAAAAGUCUUUUAAUUACCUGUUCACUAAACACAUAUAGUAUGUGAAAAUUUUAUAGAGGCUAUAUCUCAAAUUUCCCUAUCCAAUAUAUUUUUCUAUUAUUUUGUUAGGGGUCUCUAUAUUUUUGUUUGCCAUCAACCAAGAAAAAUAGAACAAAAUCAAUCCUGUUAUUAGAACGUAAACCAAACAUCUAAAAAAUAAAUCAAGCAUAACAAACAGAAAAAAAAACGGCUUUCCUCGAAAUCACAAACAUAUUGGUUGCCAUUAGUUCACAUACCUAGACAUGGGCCUACAACUAGCCAGGCCUGAUCCAUUUCCUCUUUAAAUGCUUUAGACUCCUAAAAAGUCUUCUUGAACUCGAGUCUAUGAAGAACUUUGAGGGUAAGUCACUGCAACUUGUCUAAUGUUUCAAGAGCCUGAUAAGGCAAAGAGAUUCCAUUAGUUCACAUAAAAAACUCAAAACUUUUCUGUAAUUUAGUUUACACUACACAUCACAUGUAAGAGCCGGCAAAAUUGCAGCCCAAAAAAAUCUUAAUUCCACAAAUGUAUAAAAUUGUAAUACAUAUUCCUAACAUUCUCCGUACCCAUUGUUUUCCUUUUCCGUCAUUAUCUAAAAAUAUCAAUGCGCAUUUAUCAAAAACGACCUACUGUGACAAUGCUAACCAAAGAAUCCAGUGCAGAGCACACCACCAGCACAGUCUACUUCCCAUCAUAUUCGGUGGCAUCACAGCACCCCUUGUCCACAACAUCAACAAAAAGAAAGCGUAAGAAAGGUAUUAGUUUUUCGGCCUACGUUGAGUGUGGGGUGCAGUACAUGUCAAAUUAUGAUUAGGAAAAUUCACUUUUCAAGGACACAACUUAUAUAAGCUAAAGAUUUUCAAAUCUGGGACCAGCAUGGAAGAGUCACAAUGUUAAGAAGCGUUCCUUUCAUUGCUUCCAUAGAUUGCCAUGUUCCAGCUCCACCACUUAGGGAACUUCUCUUUGCUCCCAUAGUCACAAUAUUAACGCCUGUGAUGGAAUACUUACUUUCAUAUGUUUCUUUAUUUACAGCCAGUUGGUUUUCCUCUAUAAGUCCUUACUGUAUGAUCUAUUUGAUACUGAUUACUGCUUUUAUGUUUCUUCAAUGAGCAAUGCAAACGCCAUUAUUGACCCAAGAUAAGAGAUGUCAUAUUAUGAGUUUAGGAAACAAUACAACAUACUUAUUAACACCUUCUUGCUAUGAGGCUCCACCCUUCUUUCCACCUAGAGUGCCUCUAUACGACAUAACCUGAAAUUUAAAACGUGAUCCUCAUAAAUGAAAAAACUAUAAGACAUAGUAAUCUUUCAUUUCAUUACACGGCCAUUUAAAUACAUGUUCCCUAAAACGAAUGACUUUUAUAGGACUUAUCUUUAAUUUUCCUAUACAAGACUACACAAUAUUAUUCUUUUGUUUCUUGGUUCUCUA